GUUAGUCACAGUUUCGUUCCAUCAUUCCAUCUUGGGACAUCUCAUCUAUACCAGCUCGACAGACCUACCAGAGUCCAGAUGGCCCUCACCGGAAUCUGGUGCGCAUUUGUGCUUGUGUGUGUCACUCUGUGUCAGAUGGGGAAGGUCGACUCUUUCGUUAACGAGGAUAAACCAACAUGGCUCGAAACAUUACAGGAUAAACAGGUAUCCGCCGCCGACGACAAAUACAACCUCGUCUGGUUGCUGUACAAGCUUUCACAGUCACACCAUGACAACACGUUCAAAAUAAACUUCCCCCCUCAUGGACCGGAGAGUGUCGGGAAACCGGAGAGUAGGCGCGAGACUAUACCACAGGACUCGCGGGUUCGUAAAGAAGGAUGCAAAGUGUUCUUCUGGAAGUCAUGGACCGCAUGCUGACCGACGGGUUACUUUUACUCCCAAUCACAUGACCUUUGAAUCGACGACAGAUUUUAUUACAAAUCCUUACCAGCUUGCCAAAGUUUUUACUAAAUUGUUAAUUUAACGUAUUUUUUUUUUUUUUAAUUAAUUUUAAGUUACAUGGUUGUGAGGCUAUAGCCUAUUUAUCAAGUUGAAAUAAAAUCAGAAUUAUUUA